rnacentral:rRNA from 1 species
ACGGAGCGGCGAACGGGUGAGUAACACGUGGGCAACCUGCCCCUAGCUCUGGGAUAACUCCGGGAAACCGGGGCUAAUACCGGAUAUGAGUUCGGAAGGCAUCUUCUGAUCUGGAAAGUUUUUCGGCUAGGGAUGGGCCCGCGGCCUAUCAGCUUGUUGGUGGGGUAAUGGCCUACCAAGGCGACGACGGGUAGCCGGCCUGAGAGGGCGACCGGCCACACUGGGACUGAGACACGGCCCAG